UACACGGUGACCAUGCCUCAUCACAGCAGCAUUAAACUAGUUCGAAGGUCAAAGUGCUUCAAUCAGCUGUACUUUAUUUAUGAACCAAACAACAAACGCAAAACGCAUUUCUCUCAACAAAAGCUUCAAUCAAUCUUUCAGUGGAAUGGAUUCUCACGAGCCCAGCCCCGCAUGCGCAACAUAUCUUGCUCCGAUAUUUAUCCCGGAGCAUACCGACACCUGUUUCUCGCACUCACAUCAACAGCACCAUUAGCUCAGCGAACCUUGACCUCGUCACCAUCGUCGUCGUCGUCGUCGUUGCCUUCGCGGAUAACUUCGGGGACAGUACUAUACUCACUCACACGGGAGAAGAAAUUUUCUCCCGUAUCUAGCAGAAACAGUAGAGUUCCUUCCUUCAUUCAGAAAAGUUUUCUGCUUCAUUGUGGAUUGCCUGUCGUCAUAAAAAAAAAGUCUGCCGAGAAAAGGAACAUCCCGAGCGAAUCGGAGCGAACGCACUAACCAGGAGAAAGAGAACCGCUAGCUUUAGAACUAAGAGAGUGCAUCAAAAGAGUGUUAAAGAUUUAGCAUGACUUCACCAAAGAUAUCGGCUGAUAAGACUAAUGCAAAUGCAUCGUCACCCGUGAAGCAGGAUGUAUCCGAAGCUAGCAAUGGUAAUGCAACGGCAGGGACCAGUGCAGAUAGCGUUGCAUCGAGCGCUGAGAGCACACCGGGAAUUGGACCCUCCGGAGUUUUCAGCUGGUUGAAGGUCUUCCGUUUUGCCAAUCUCAUGAUCAAACAGGGAUGUUAAACAGUAAAUAAUUCCAAGUUACUGAAAGCACUUUGAUGUUAAAAAUAAUUCCUUCUAUGGGCCCAUGCAUUAAUUAUGUCACGCUAAAUCGAGGAUAAAUUAACCCCCCCCCCCUCUAUCGUGACGUUUUCCCUAUACCUAAUGCAUUGCUUGUCACAAAAUCUUAGACUCCCCUAGAGCGUGACAUAAUAUAUGUAUCAACCCUAUCUGUAGCAAAAUAAAACAAUAAUAAGCCAAUUGCUGUAGAGUUGUAUUAGAACAUACCAGAUUUAUUUAUGCAUUUAAGAUCUAAUCGUAAGUAGAAAAUAUGAAUUUAUAUCUUUUAAAGAUAAACACCACAGAGUUUAUGAAACAUGUUUGUUAAAACUUAAGAAUCUAUCAAUAAAUAUUGCAAUUACGUGAUAAGCACGGGAAAA